CAGUUUCUUUAAACAGUCCUAUAAGUACUUUAAAAAUUUGGUCACGGUAAACAUGCUCCCAUGGCAAAGAAUUUCAGUUACUUGAGAGUGACUAUUUAAUGUUCUGUACAGUUUAGUUGUGUUACAUGAUGUAGUGUGAACUAGUCCAGACAGACAGUUUUUGAUCACUUACCUCUACAGAAAUCCCAGAGUAACAAUCUGAGUGACAGGAAAAACUUGUUGCCCUAAGAUGAGAAAUUGAAACAAUAGUGAAAAUUGCAAUACGGAAAUAGUUUCUUAAACACAGUGGCGUGUCUACUUGGUAAAUUAUUAACAAUGUUAAAAAAGUUUACAACAUGAGAAAUACUAGAAGUGAAAAGACCUGAUGGAAAUGGUUGAUGUCCUGUGCUCACAAGUGUACUAACAUAAGAAGCACCCUGCACGGGGAAAAGUGGAAGGAACUUUGUAUCAAAAUUUUCUUUAAGGUUUCACUGUUUUAUAAUCAAAGGAGACUAAAACUCUUCAUGAUGCUUGCUUGCAUCAUAGAGCCAUGUAGAAAAUCCCAACCAGGAAAUAACAGUUCUUAGCAG
rnacentral:lncRNA from 1 species